rnacentral:rRNA from 1 species
UUCCGGUUGAUCCCGCCGGAGGCUACCGCUAUUGGAGUUCGAUUAAGCCAUGCGAGUCCAGAGCUUUCGGAGCUCGGCGUACCGCUCAGUAACACGUGGGUAACCUAACCUAUGCAGGGGAAUAACCUCGGGAAACUGAGAAUAAUGCCCCAUAGUCCACUACGCCUGGAACGGUGAGUGGAUGAAAGCUCAGGCGGCAUAGGAUGGGCCUGCGGCGUAUCAGGUUGUAGGGGGUGUAAAGUACCCUCUAGCCCUCUACGCGUACGGGUGUUGGGAGACAUAGCCCGGAGAUGGAUUCUGAGACACGAAUCCAGACCCUACGGGGUGCAGCAGGCGCGAAAACUUGGCAAUGCGAGCAAUCGUGACCAGGGAACUCCAAGUGGCUGGGGUAAGACCCAGUCUUUUCAGAACUCUUCAAAGGUUUUAGAAUAAGGGGUGGGUAAGGACGGUGCCAGCCGCCGCGGUAAUACCGGCGCCUCAAGUGGUAGUCGCUUUUAUUGGGCCUAAAACGUCCGUAGCCGGUUUGGUACAUUCGUGGGUAAAUCAACUCGCUCAACGAGUUGAAUUCUGCGAGGACGGCCAGACUUGGGACCGGGAGAGGUGUGGGGUACUCUCAGGGUAGGGGUAAAAUCCUGUCAUCCUGAGAGGACCACCUGUUGCGAAGGCGCCACACUAGAACGGAUCCGACGGUCAGGGACGAAGCCUAGGGGCACGAACCGGAUUAGAUACCCGGGUAGUCCUAGGUGUAAACGCUGUGGACUUGAUGUUGGAGAAGCUCCGAGCUUCUUCAGUGUCGAAGCGAAGGUGAUAAGUCCACUGCCUGGGAAGUACGGUCGCAAGGCUGAAACUUAAAGGAAUUGGCGGGGGAGCACCGCAACCUGAGGAUUGUGCGGUUUAAUUGGAUUCAACGCCGGA